UCAGCUUGGAGGCGACAACACGGGACCAACGUUACACACGUGGGCAGCUCGCGAAAGGAUUUUGCACAGGCCAUCAAGAGUGUGAUGGUGCUGCUGAGUGGCGUGAUGAAGCCCAGGCGGCCGUCGCUGAGCACCACAGCGAAGCCGUCCAGCGUCUCGCAGUACUCCACGCAGCGGAUGUGAACACCUUCCAGGUCCAGAGAUGGGCCGCCUACACACACCAGCGCACACACACAUAUUCAGAAAUUUUCCAACGUAGCGACGGAACUGCUGGUAGGAGACCCGAACAUUAACACAGACGCAUUAAAAACCAGGAGCGGAGGGAAGGCGUAAAAAGCGAGCGAGCAAUACUAAGCUGAAUCAAGAGGAGCACAGCCUUGGCCUGAGAUGCGACCAAGACGUCAACCGAGGUCUGCAAAAACAAUCAAAACUG